GUAAGGAGAGGAGGAGGAGGAGGGCUGGAGAGAAGAGAGAGGAGAGGAGAGGGAGGAGGGCUGGAGAGAAGAGGGAGGAGAGGAGAGGGAGGAGGGCUGGAGAGAAGAGAGAGAGGAAAGGAGAGGGAGGAGGGCUGGAGAGAAGAGAGAGAGGAGAGGGAGGAGGGCUGGAGAGAGUAAAGGAGAGGGAGGAGGGCUGGAGAGAGUAAAGGAGAGGGAGGAGGGCUGGAGAGAGAAGAGAGAGGAAAGGAGAGGGAGGAGGGCUGGAGAGAAGAGAGAGGAGAGAAGAGGGAGGAGGGCUGGAGAGAAGAGAGAGAAAAGGAGAGGGAGGAGGGCUGGAGAGAAGAGAGAGAGGAAAGGAGAGGGAGGAGGGCUGGAGAGAAGAGAGAGAGGAGAGGAGAGGGAGGAGGGCUGGAGAGAAGAGGGAGGAGAGGAGAGGGAGGAGGGCUGGAGAGAAGAGAGUGAGGUAAGGAGAGGGAGGAGGGCUGGAGAGAAGAGAGAGGAGAGGAGAGGGAGGAGGACUGGAGAGAA
ensembl:lncRNA